UCCACUACUCAGUUGGUAGAGUAUAAAGCUCUUAACCAUGUGGACGUGGGUUCAAGCCCCAUGGUGGAG
rnacentral:tRNA from 1 species